GCCGAAAAGUCCGUUUUAAAAGAUGAUGUAUACAAAUUAUAGCACGGAGAGGGAACGGGCAAGUUGUUUCCUCUUUCCAUGCCUCCAACUCCUCUGAAAUGUGGGUCAUGAUGAUAAUAGGAAAAACUGUCUCUGCCAUAGAGAGGUGGAAAAAGUCCCGCGAAGUGUCCCCGGUAUCUAGAAAGCGCUCAGUAGUGUUUGCUGUUAUCUUAGGGAUAUCAGGCUGCCUGGACAUUUCUCAGAGGAUGAAGGGGAUUGUAGUAAGGAAGACCACCUUCCAGAGGAUGAAGGGGAUUGUAGUAAGGAAGACCACCUUCCAGAGGAUGAAGGGGAUUGUAGGAAGGAAGACCACCUUCCAGAGGAUGAAGGGGAUUGUAGGAAGGAAGACCACCUUCCCGGGGCUGGGCAAGGCUGCGGUACUGUCUCUCAUCAGGUCCAGGAGGACUCAGCAGGCUGAUGCAGAGGGACACAGCGCAUCCGCCUUGGUGGAUGCAUGGCUUUCCUGGCUCCCCUGGGACGGGGGAGGAGGGUGAAGAUGGAGGGAAUCUGGCUGGCUGGGCCUUGUGUACUGGGGGGUGGAGGGCCCAUUUGACUGCAGGAAUUGCUCAAGCACAUAAGCACCUUGAAGUGUGUUACUAAGAUACAAGAAACAGGUUUGCUUUUGCCUAUUCCAGCAUGGUGUACCUCUCUUAGGAUACCUUUUAGCACAGGUAGCAGAAUACCAGCCAGCCUCCUGUGGCUCACAGCAUUAAGAUAUUUAAUCAUCUGACAUUACAUGAAGUCCAGUGUUAGGCAGGCAGGAGCUGCUCCCGUGACUCAGUGACAUCAGGUUGGUCCACAUCCUAGCAGUUCUCUUGGUGUUCCUGCGUGAUCAAAGGAUGACUGCCACACCCCAGCCUGCUGACCUCAGCCCUGGCGUGGGCAUAGGAGGGUCUGCGUGGCUGAGCAUCCAGUGUCCUUCGUACUGCCACUGACAGCCUCAGGCCUGAUUUCCAGCACUGUCUGUCCAGGAGCAAUGGGAGCAAGAGUCACUCCACGAGACUCUGGAGGCCUGAUAGGUGAGUACAUCCACUUUAUAGGGGAAAUGGUGGGAUGCUGGGUCUGUGUGGUCAGAGAUACAGGUGAAA
rnacentral:lncRNA from 1 species